AAACAACUCAAGUGUUUAUCUCCUGCGUAAACGCAGGGCAGUCCACUGAGAAAACAGGCAGUUAAAUGUUCAUACUUGUCUACAUUAGUAAAAUUUAAGUAUAUUAGGGUUCGUCCAUUCUUUGUUCCGCCGUAUAUAAAUGUAGAAGGAAGCCCUAAUGGCCACUUCCAUACACUUGGAGAUCAUCCUUUGAAAGUUAAUAUUAGUUCCCUUAAAUAACACUUUUAUAUCUUCAAAGUGAGAUGUUACAAUUCCAAGAGAAGUUAUUUCGAUCGAGAAAAAUUGAAAGCCUCUCCAUCUGUCUUUACUAUCUUGUUGUAAUGUCCUGUAUUUUGCUUGCUUAUAUUCUCUUGAUUUCUCUGCAUUCGUUUCGAAGCAACAUGUAAGUUCUAUUACAUAUAGGACACCAUUCUUUAUUAGGGCGAUGUCUGGCCGAAAAGUCUGAAAGAUUUCGCUUGUCCUUCGAUACCCAUCUAGAU